UCACUUUCGCAGGAAUCGCGAUUGCAUUUACCAUAUGCAAUAAGGCUUUAAACCUCUAGGUGGCCCUAGUGGACGAGUUUUGUCUCGUGAGGGUUUCCGGCUCAGAUACCUACAAAUUGUUGUCUCUACUCAAAGAGUUUAUUGUAUUAUUUUAUAAAAUCUAAUUUCAAAUGCAUAAGUGCCAAUAAUUUCAAAAGCACACAAAGUUUUAAUUACUAAGUCAGCCCAAAUCCUAGGUCAGUACGCAACUUAAGUUGAAGUUAUUA
rnacentral:lncRNA from 1 species